CCAAUAGCGUAUAUUAAAGUUGUUGCAGUUAAAAAGCUCGUAGUUGAAUUUCGGGAUCAAUAUGUCUGUCGUGCCUUCGGUACGUACGGGUAUAAUUGGUUUCUACCUUCUGAUGAACCUUGAUGCCAUUAAUUUGGUGUCUUGGGGACUCAGGACUGUUACCUUGAAAAAAUUAGAGUGUUUAAAGCAGGCAUACGCUUGAAUACAUUAGCAUGGAAUAAUGAAAUAGGACGUUCGAUUCUAUUUUGUUGGUUUCUAGGAUCGACGGAAUGAUUAAUAGGGAUAGUUGGGGGCAUUAGUAUUCAAUUGUCAGAGGUGAAAUUCUUGGAUUUAUUGAGGACUAACUACUGCGAAAGCAUUUGCCAAGGAUGUUUUCAUUAAUCAAGAACGAAAGUUAGGGGAUCGAAGACGAUCAGAUACCGUCGUAGUCUUAACCAUAAACUAUGCCGACUAGGGAUCGGAUGAUGUUAAUUUUUUAAUGACUCAUUCGGCGCCUUACG
rnacentral:rRNA from 1 species